rnacentral:rRNA from 1 species
CCCUUAGACGUUCUGGGCUGCACGCGCGCUACAAUAAUACGCACAGCGAGUAUCACCGAGCUCGAAAGGGCAAGGUAAACAAUAGAAAAGGUACUGUAAUGGUUAUAGAUCCUUGUAAUUAUUGAUCUUCAACGAGGAAUUCCUAGUAAGUAUGUGUCAUCAUCACGCACUGAUUACGUCCCUGCCCUUUGUACACACCGCCCGUCGCUCCUACCGAUUGAGUGAGCCGAUGAAACUGCCGGAUGUGGACUAUUCAUAGUCUGCAGAAGAUAUUUGAAUCGUAGCGCUUAGAGGAAGGAGAAGUCGUAACA